AAAAAAAAAAAAAAAAAAAAGGCUUGGAAAAGAGAAAGAGAACAUGAAAAAAAAGAAAAAAUAACUUCCCGAAACCGCGUCAAAUUGAGAUCUUAACCGCCUCUCAUCCCAACCGACUCGCUUAACUUUUCUAUAAAUACACCGCCCAUCCUCCUCAUUCGUCAGCUUUUAUUUGUUGCGUCGCAAUCUUAGGUUUUCUUGGAUUAUUUGUUAUUAUGCUGCAUGAUAUUGAAGUAUUAGAUAUUUGGAGUGAAUUUUGCAUAAGUUUUUGGAUUGAUUGUUAAUCUUGCAUGAUAUGUGAUCGGGUAGCUGUUUAUUCUUUGCUGAAGUGUCGGGGAAUUCGAUUGGGAUAUGAUUGUUCGGUGAUCGAAUUAUGCAGAUGUUAGUUGAUUUUUUGAUGCUGCGAAUAUUCAUCUGCUUUUUUAUGAUUCAUGAUCAAGAAGCUUGUUUCUUGAAUAUUCUAUCGCCUUCUGUUUUUUUAAUUCUCCAGAGUGUAUAGGUGACUUCGUUUUUUUUCAAUUUGCAGACUCAUCUCGUGUUCUUCAGCUUUUUUACUCAGUAUCUAGAUUUGUAGAAAUAUCUUUAGAUAUGCAGACUCCAAUAAACAAGAUGUUAAUUGUCUUUUUUUUUGUUUUGUAUAUAUUUAUGGAUUAACUCCUGUUGCAUAGUGUUUGGGCGUUAUUUGAUGAGAGGUGUCUGUAAAUUGGGUUCUCCAUUGAUUUGGUUCAUUGAGUCGCGGAAGUUCAUGAGCUCCCUAAUUUUCUUGGAUUUGGUUUGUUUCUUGGACUGAUCGAGUGACAAUUAUUUGGUAUGGGUUAUAGUUGAUUCACGGGUCUAUAUCGCUUGAAUUUCUUGUGCUUUCCUUCGGUUUCAUGCUUAUGUUUUAUCAUUAACUGGACGUUUUCUUGCACAUGGUGCUGGGAUUUUUCAUUCGUCCCCAAGCUUUGUAUUCAUCUUGUGAUUCAGCAUCACUGAGCUCAUUAUUGACCUGAGGCUGUCAUUAGUGGUAUGCUUGUGAGUUUGGGAUGUAGGGGCCAUCGAAGAAUUGUCUGGUUUAGUCAGAAGAUAGUUGUUGUUUGGCGUUGCAGAUGUUAUGCCCCUAGAUGUUUGAGAAUAAGACUGAACUUUAGCGGAAACAUACUUGCGCAUCAUCUCUCGUCAUUUGGAUCGUCGCGUUUUUGUCUGUUGUCUUCUGCAGAUUUGAGAAGGGGAGUUGUGCUUUAAUAACCAACAAACAGCAAGCACUUUUCCUUGUGUGGAUCAAGUCAGUGGCUCACGGACAUUGACAAGAGGCUAGUAAAAGGGUGUAGAGACCACAAGGAGUUCCAUCUAGCCUGUUCACUCAGCCCUAUUCUGUUUUUCUUUUUUGUUUGCUGUGCUCAGAUCAUUUGGUACAAAUGGACAAAUGGACAAAUGGACAAAUGGUCAAGUAGCAUGAGGAUUUAGGUGUUGGUCUGCUGGAGUUCCCGAGUUUUUGGCAAGAAAUGAGUGUUCGUCUCGUAUGUUUUGGUUAAUGAUGGUGUCGGUGCCGUCGCGUGUUAGAAGGUGCAAGCAGGAUAUUCAGGAGAGGUAUUUUUGGAGCUGAGCCACUUGGAUCCUGUAAGUUUACUCUUUCUUAUUUGUAGGAUUAGCCUUAGCAUGUCUCUUUUGGCAGGAAGACUGCUAAAUCUGAGCUUUGUUGCAUUAUAAGCUUGCUUGUCUAGCGUUUUGCUUUGUGCAUGAUUAUCUCACACCUUGUUGUAUUCUCCUAGGGAUGUUAGACAAAAGGUUCAGGUUUUAUGUGGUAUCCAUGGACUGAUCGACAUGCAAAGGUUUAAUGGAUUACAGCUUAUAGGGCUCUACUACAUAUACAUAUAUAAAAUAUAUAUCUAUAUAUAUAUAUAUUAUACAUAUUAUACAUAUAUAUCUAUGUAUAUAUAUUAUACAUAUAUAUAUAGGUUUAAGUUCAUAUGAGAACCACCCUUAUGGCUGGAACCAUGAGAAUCCCUCAUUUUACGAAGUUUUUAAUCAUUUUAUAAUAUUUUUUGCUUAUUUUUUGUUUCACUUGUCUUAUGGUUUUGCUCAUUUAAUAAUUUAUAACGUUUUUGCUCAUUUUACGUUUUGCUUAUAUUACUUUUUUUUUCUCAUUAAACUUUUUCAUGCUCAUUUUUCGUUUUUUUUUUCUCUUACAUUUUUGUUCAUUUUACGUUAUUGUUCAUUUUACGUUUUUGAUAAUUUAAUGUUUUCUACUCAUUUUAAAUUUAUGCUCAUUUGUUACUUUUUUUUUUGCUUAUUUUAGGAAGUUUUUGCUCAUUUAACGUUUUUGCUCAUUUUAAGUGGUUUUUGCGGUUUUCACCGUAAGAGAGUUCUCAUCCUUAAAAUGAGCCAAAACUUCCUAAAAUGAGCAAAAACAAAAAAAAAAGAAACAAUUGAGCUUAAGCAUAAAAUGAGUGGAAACCAUUACAUUAUCAAAAAAAAAACGUAAAAUAAACAAAACAUAAAAUGAGCAAAAACACUCAUAAAAUGAGCAUAAAAUUGUUAAAUGAGCAAAAUCAUAAAAUAAAUAAAACAAAAAAUGAGCAAAAAUAUUUUGAAAUGAUCAAACUUUUUGUAAAAUGAAGAAAAAUAAGUCUCACCACAUGAGUGGUUCUCAUAUGAAUUCCAACAUGUAUAUGUAAAUGUAUAUGCAUAUGUAUAUAUGUAUAUGUAUAUGUAUAUGUAUAUGUAUAUGUAUAUGUAUAUGUAUAUGUAUAUGUAUAUGUAUAUGUAUAUGUAUAUGUAUAUGUAUAUGUAUAUGUAUGUGUAUGUGUAUAUGUAUGUGUAUAUGCAGGAAUGGCAACGGGUCGGACUUGGACCGGAUUAUACAUAAUCCGACUCCGACCCUACAGAAAGUCGGAUUUUAAAUCCGACUCCGACUCCGAGAUCCGACUUUGAAAAUCCGAAUUCGACCCGACCUAAAAUCCGAACAUCCGACUCCGAGAUCCGACCCGACUUAAAAUCCGGACAUCCGACUUAAAAUCCGAACAUCCGACUCCGAACCUGAUCCGACUUAUUUUUCUUCCAAUUGUUUAAUCAUUUUUUUGUGGGAAAAGCCUAUAUAAUACAACUGGCUGAAAGUCGAAGUCAGAUAUACAUAAAUAAUACAUUACAUAAAUAAGAAAAAAGGAUUGAUUGACUCAAAGUCGGAGUCGGAUUCGGAUGUCGGAUUAUUUUAUGAGAUCCGACUCCGACCCUCCUCCAACUCGGAGUCGGAUUUUUUAAA